UAUUUUCAUUACAUCACAGAGUAAUGUUUUUUGAUGAAAACAUGCAUAAUCCAAGGGAACUAAAUGCAUAUAAAAGCUCUGAUUUUAAUCGAUCAAUGCAGACGUCUUCUUCAUCUCCAAUCGCGCGAGAGUUAAAAGUUGAUAUCGUUUUAAAUUGUGAGAAACAAAAAAAAAUCCAAAAAUGUUCAAAGUUAUGAUAUUGUCUUUUUUGAUAAUCGCAUUGGUGGCGACAUUUGCGGCCGCAGAUCGUAAUUGUGGUGGGGCUUGGUGUCACCCGAUAAAAGGUUACAGCUGCUGCAAUCGCCAUGUUUGUUCCAACAUCUUCUCCGAAGGCGUCUGCGAACGCCAGUACGGAGGAAAAUAAUCAGGUAGUUUAUUUUUGAAACAACAAUUAACGCGCAAAUGUAUGACUGUCAAUAAAUAUACUGAUAUCUAAAGCUCUAAUUGUAUUUAUUCAACUUCAAUUUCUAUCUAAUAAUUUCUUAACAAAUUUAUAUCUAUCGAUAUUUAUUCGGCAGAAAAUAAAAUAAAAUCCAACAGCAAUACAAUUUUUUACGAGCCUACGUCGAAAUAUUAAAAAAAAAAUAAUUGCGUAAUUACUGUACUUACAUAAGUAGAUAAAUAAGCAAUUUAUUGUUAUACCAGCAAGGACAUUAUUUAAAACAUUUAUCAGUGUCGAUAAAAUUAAUUACUUUGUAAUUUUCAUACCGAAUACCUAUAGUUCAAAACUUUUUUAUAUAAAUAUAUAUAUUUUUUUCUUAACAAUAAUGGGGAUUAUUUUAAAUAAAUUAUUAAGGAGGUUCAUGUGAGAAAAAUUUCAAUUUCUUCCUUUUUUGGCAAUAAAUUAAUAAACACAUUGAGCCUUGAAGAAAAAAUAAUUCUAGCGCGCAUGCGCGGGUUCCAUCUUGAUGUAGUGGCACCAUGUAUAUUUUCGUUACGUGGGGUUAGAUAAUACUACCAACACGAAAGGAAUUUAAUCAUUUGAAAUUUUUUGUUCGUACGGUCAUACAUAUGAAUAUAUACUUAUAUAUUUAAAAUAAUAUUAAAAUGGCAAAGAUAGUGAUUGUCCUUUUUUCAAUUUUAUUAAUCAUACAAUUGUUGGCUGCAGUGGCAUUUGGCAGUUGUCUCGGCAAUUGGUGUGACAUAAGUGAAGGUUACCCCUGUGGCUGUUUCCAUUAUGUAUGUUCUCGUUACAACUCUCCAGGAAAGUGCCAAUGGCAAAACGGGUAAUGUCACCAAAAUUAAUCGACUGGAGUUCGCAUUACGAUUUUAUCAAAAUUUCUCAAAAUCGUAAU